AAAAGAGACCUAUGCUGUUAGAUGGGUGCUGAUGACCUGUAGGCAGUUUCUGGAAGGCAGCAAAAUCCCCUUCGAAGUGUGGACAGACCAGAAGAACUUGGAGGCCCUGAAAGCCCCGAGGAAACUUCCCCCAAACAAGUACGAUGGGCUCAGUACUUUAAUCAGUUCAAUUUCAUUCUUCGGUAUUUGCCAGGGAGGAAGAAUUUCCUUGCAGAUGCGCUCUCACAAAUGCCCCAAUAUAUGAGCACCUGGGAGGAAAUCGUUAACUCCAUCAUCCCCUCCUGGCAACUGGCGGCACAGGUCUCAGCAAAGCGACAGCUGCUAGCUGCUCCUCAGCCGACUGAUGAUGCUCUGAAAUGGCAGCUGAGGGAAGCCCUGGAGGAAGAUGAGUGGUUCAGAGAUCAUAAGAAAGAAUUGACGAUGAGAGAAGGCCUGGCUUGGAAGGGGGAAAAACUGUAUGUCCCAGCCAACCAGAGAACCCUGAUCCUACACAAAGAAGCCACGAUGUGAAGCUGGCAGGCCACUUCAGGGGUCGGCAUGUCAAGAUUGAAUCGCUUUACUUCUUCUGAGCUUCUAUCAGUCUUCAACUUGCCAUUCAAACAGGAGGAGGGAGAGGGGAAAUGGAAUACUAAGAUUUCAUCUAGGACUGUGAGAGCCUGAACCUCACCAAGGUCACUACUGCAGGUGUUAGACGGAGACAUGGACUGAUCCCAUAACAAAAGGAAGAUUUAUACUUGGACCAUGUGAACACCCAGGGAUGGGGAGAAAAGGAAUCUAUUGUUUAACUAAACGAGCAUUUCGGUGGGAAAACCAGAGCUGGUUUUGCUUCUGCAGUUCCCAGAUGAUGUAUUCAAUAAAGUUAUACUUUUGGGAAUUCAAA